CGGGGAGCCCGCGUCCUUUCCCUGGUGUGAUUCCGUCCUGCGCGGCUGCUCUUUCGAAUAGUAGUCGUUUAAUUCCGUCCGGCUUCUCUCCCGCAUAAGUGCGUGCCGCCAACCCAUGGAGGAUUCAAUGGACAUGGACAUGAGCCCCUUGAGGCCCCAGAACUAUCUUUUCGGUUGUGAACUAAAGGCUGACAGAGAUUAUCACUUCAAGGUGGAUAAUGAUGAAAAUGAGCACCAGUUAUCUUUAAGAACGGUCAGUUUAGGGGCUGGAGCAAAGGAUGAGUUACACAUUGUUGAAGCAGAGGCAAUGAAUUAUGAAGGCAGUCCAAUUAAAGUAACACUGGCAACUUUGAAAAUGUCUGUACAGCCAACGGUUUCUCUUGGGGGCUUUGAAAUUACACCACCUGUGGUCUUACGGUUGAAGUGUGGUUCAGGGCCUGUGCAUAUCAGUGGACAGCACUUAGUAGCUGUGGAGGAAGAUGCAGAGUCAGAAGAUGAAGAGGAGGAGGAUGUGAAACUCCUAAGUAUAUCUGGAAAGCGGUCUGCUCCUGGAAGUGGUAGCAAGGUUCCCCAGAAAAAAGUAAAGCUUGCUGCUGAUGAAGAUGACGAUGAUGAUGAAGAUGACGACGAUGAUGAUGAAGACGAUGAUGAUGAUGACGAUUUUGAUGAGGAAGUUGAAGAAAAAGCUCCAGUAAAGAAAUCUGUACGAGAUACUCCAGCCAAAAAUGCACAAAAAUCGAACCAAAAUGGAAAAGACUCAAAACCAUCAACACCAAGAUCAAAAGGUCAAGAAUCCUUCAAAAAACAGGAAAAAACACCUAAAACACCGAAAGGACCUAGCUCUGUAGAAGACAUUAAAGCAAAGAUGCAAGCAAGUAUAGAAAAAGCGCAUUGAACAGUCCUGGGCACUACUGGUAAAUUAAGCCCAAAGAUGGGGAGAGGAAAAGGAGAGACACAUAUAGUCCAAACUGAGUAUCAUCAGCAGUCCAGACUGAAGUCUUCUGUUUUAAUCUCAAUCCCCUUUCCUGAUUGGCCACCCACCCAUGCCCCUUCCAGGCUGGAAGCAAUCAAUUGAUCUCCUGAAACACUUUGCCUGCUAUGAUUCAGUGAACCUUAUACUUUGCUUUCUAUUUGUGCAAUUGCCUCACCUCUGACCAUGUAUUUCCCUAGCUGCUCAAUAAAUAUUUGAAUCAAAUAACAGAUGUGACAGUAAUUUAAAAAUGUAAAUUAAAGCCAGGUUUAUUUUCUAGGUGAUAAGGCAGUUAAGAAAAGAAUUCACCACACCUGAAACUCUUUUGAUCUUUCUAAAAUGCAUAGAAGAUUCAGGGUGGUUCCCUUCCCAAAGUGGAAGCCAAGUUUAUCAAUUAUGUGAAGAAUUGUUUCCGGAUGACUGACCAGGAGGCUAUUCAAGAUCUCUGGCAGUGGAGGAAGUCUCUUUAAGAAAAUAGUUUAAACAGUUUGUUAAAAAUUUUCCGUCUUAUUUCAUUUCUGUAACAGUUGAUAUCUGGCUGUCCUUUUUAUAAUGCAGAGUGAGAACUUUCCCUACCGUGUCUGAUAAAUGUUGUCCACGUUCCAUUGCCAAGAAUGUGUUGUCCAAAAUGCCUGUUUAGUUUUUAAAGAUGGAACUCCACCCUUUGCUUGGUUUUAAGUAUGUAUGGAAUGUUAUGAUAGGAAUAGUAGUAGUGGUGGUCAGACAGAUGGAAAUGGUGGGGAGACAAAAAUAUACAUGUGAAAUAAACUCAGUAUUUUAAUAAAGUAGCCCUGUUUCUCUUUCUUAA